ACGUAGGCAGCAAGCGUUGUUCGGAGUUACUGGGCGUAAAGAGUGCGUAGGCGGUUCUCUAAGUUUGGUGUGAAAUCUCCCGGCUCAACUGGGAGGGGGCGCCGAAAACUGGAGGGCUUGAGUGUGGGAGAGGCAAGCGGAAUUCCUGGUGUAGCGGUGAAAUGCGUAGAUAUCUGGAGGAACACCGGCGGCGAAGGCGGCAUCCUGGACCGGUAUUGACGCUGAGGCGCGAAAGCCAGGGGAGCAAACGGGA
rnacentral:rRNA from 1 species